rnacentral:rRNA from 1 species
AUUGAACGCUGGCGGCAUGCCUUACACAUGCAAGUCGAACGGCAGCGGGGGAGAAGCUUGCUUUUCCUGCCGGCGAGUGGCGAACGGGUGAGUAAUACAUCGGAACGUGCCCUGUCGUGGGGGAUAACUAGUCGAAAGAUUAGCUAAUACCGCAUACAACCUGAGGGUGAAAGUGGGGGACCGCAAGGCCUCAUGCUAUAGGAACGGCCGAUGUCUGAUUAGCUAGUUGGUGGGGUAAAGGCCUACCAAGGCGACGAUCAGUAGCUGGUCUGAGAGGACGAUCAGCCACACUGGGACUGAGACACGGCCCAGACUCCUACGGGAGGCAGCAGUGGGGAAUUUUGGACAAUGGGCGAAAGCCUGAUCCAGCAAUGCCGCGUGUGUGAAGAAGGCCUUCGGGUUGUAAAGCACUUUUGUCCGGAAAGAAAUGGCUCUGGUUAAUACCUGGGGUCGAUGACGGUACCGGAAGAAUAAGGACCGGCUAACUACGUGCCAGCCGCCGCAGUAA